ACUUUUCAGGCCACAGAAUUGGCCGAGGCGGCAGAUAAGGAUGGUGAUGUCCCUAAGCUCAUAGAAGGCAGGUUCUCAGACUGAUGCAAACAUCAGGGUAUCGAGGUGUCCAUCAGGAGACACCUGGUACAGUGGGAAAAACAAAGAUCCUGGAGACUAAAGUCCGCAGCCUUUCACCCCACCUCAAGAUCUGUGGCCAUGUUGCUUGAUGUCUCUGAAUUUCACUCUCUUCCAGGACUGUCUUGAGAAUUUAAAGAACUGAAUGCAUCUCCAGGGACAUGGUAUCCUCCAGGAUGUCCUUCGCUCAGACCUCUUCAUCAGGAGCCCAGUGACUUGAGAGGCCAGGCUCCAAAUGGCUCCAAGGAGGCUAAGAUCCCCUGUGUGAUUGCAGGAGGAAAAGAGAUUUGAAACAUAUUCUCUUCUAAUCCUCCUUCAUCUGAACUAAUUUCCAAAUGGACAAAGUAAUCAAUUCAAGCUUAUUCGAAGGGCUGAAUGAGUGGCUGGAACAAUUCUCCAAACUAUGAUUUCCAUUGAAUAAUUGAAAUUAUGCUAGGGCAUGGAGAUUUUUCAACAAAUAAAAUAUGUCUGAAAAUCUAUUAAAGAUACGUCUGCAAGAGUCAUUUGCAAAAGCCCAACUCAGCAAUAAAAAAUAAAUUACAUUUCCAUUCUUGUCAUCAUUCCCUUUGGGAAAGAGCAUAUUACUACCACUUCAUGGACAAAUGGAACCAGUGUGUUUUGGAAUGAAGGGUGCGACAAGUUCUAAACCACGAGGUUUAGACAUAUAGGUGAUGAUUCUACCCUGGGAAGUGAAUAGGGAAAAAUUUCCCUGGCUUCAUGUUGCUCAGAUAAUAUAUCUGCUGUUUUGUCUCAUCUGUGGGUGUUUUUGGAAUCAGAGUUUUCCAUCUGUGACUUUGAGUGACAGACAACUUUACUCAGAGAUUUUGAAGCUCAUUCAGGUCAUUUGGACCAGCUCUAUAGGGAUCAAAGAGCUCACUAGAAUCCCUUAUUUCUAUUUUCAUCUCACCCUGAGCACAGGGCUCAGAGGAGAAAGUCCCCUCAAAGGAGCAGGCCAGGUGCAGAAGACAUGA
rnacentral:lncRNA from 12 species